GACGAACGCUGGCGGCGUGCCUAAUACAUGCAAGUUGAGCGAUGAAGAUUGGUGCUUGCCCCAAUUUGAAGAGCAGCGAACGGGUGAGUAACGCGUGGGGAAUCUGCCUUUGAGCGGGGGACAACAUUUGGAAACGAAUGCUAAUACCGCAUAACAACUUUAAACAUAAGUUUUAAGUUUGAAAGAUGCAAUUGCAUCACUCAAAGAUGAUCCCGCGUUGUAUUAGCUAGUUGGUGAGGUAAAGGCUCACCAAGGCGAUGAUACAUAGCCGACCUGAGAGGGUGAUCGGCCACAUUGGGACGGAGACACGGCCCAAACUCCUACGGGAGGCAGCAGUAGGGAAUCUUCGGCAAUGGACGAAAGUCUGACCGAGCAACGCCGCGUGAGUGAAGAAGGUUUUCGGAUCGUAAAACUCUGUUGGUAGAGAAGAACGUUGGUGAGAGUGGAAAGCUCAUCAAGUGACGGUAACUACCCAGAAAGGGACGGCUAACUACGUG
rnacentral:rRNA from 1 species